rnacentral:rRNA from 1 species
GAGUACACGUAAGCACCUACCCUAAAGACGAGGAUAACCAUUGGAAACAGUGGCUAAGACUGGAUAGGAAGAUAAAAGGCAUCUUGUAUCUUUUAAAAGACCUAGUUAAUAGGUAUGCUUUAGGAGGGGCUUGCGCCAUAUUAGUUAGUUGGUAGGGUAAUGGCCUACCAAGACGAUGAUGUGUAGCUGGACUGAGAGGUUGAACAGCCACAUUGGGACUGAGACACGGCCCAAACUCCUACGGGAGGCAGCAGUAGGGAAUUUUCGGCAAUGGAGGAAACUCUGACCGAGCAACGCCGCGUGAAUGACGAAGUACUUCGGUAUGUAAAGUUCUUUUAUCGAGGAAGAAAAGCAAAUGGCGAACCAUUUGUUUGCCGGUACUUGAUGAAUAAGCCCCGGCUAAUUAUGUGCCAGCAGCCGCGGUAAGACAUAAGGGGCAAGUGUUAUCCGGAAUUAUUGGGCGUAAAGGGUGCGUAGGCGAUCUAGUAAGUCAGUGGUGUAAUGUCAACGCUUAACGUUGUCCGGCUAUUGAAACUGCUAAACUUGAGUUAGAUAGAGGCGAGUGGAAUUCCAUGUGUAGCGGUAAAAUGCGUAAAUAUAUGGAGGAACACCAGAGGCGUAGGCGGCUCGCUGGGUCUUAACUGACGCUGAGGCACGAAAGCGUGGGGAGCAAACAGGAUUAGAUACCCUGGUAGUCCACGCCGUAAACGAUGAGUACUAAGUGUCGGGUUAAACCGGUACUGAAGUUAACACAUUAAGUACUCCGCCUGAGUAGUACGUACGCAAGUAUGAAACUUAAAGGAAUUGACGGGACUCCGCACAAGCGGUGGAUCAUGUUGUUUAAUUCGAAGAUACCCGAAAAACCUUACCAGGUCUUGACAUGUUUUUGCAAAAUGAUAGUAAUAUCGUGGAGGUUACCAGAAACACAGGUGGUGCAUGGUUGUCGUCAGCUCGUGUCGUGAGAUGUUAGGUUAAGUCCUAAAACGAGCGAAACCCUUAUCGUUAGUUGCCAGCACGUUAUGGUGGGGACUUUAACGAGACUGCCAAUGAUAAAUUGGAGGAAGGUGAGGAUCACGUCAAAUCAGCAUGCCCCUUAUGACCUGGGCUACAAACGUGAUACAAUGGCUGUUACAAAGGGUAGCUGAAACGCAAGUUCUUGGCCAAUCCCCAAAAACAGUCCCAGUCCGGAUUGAAGUCUGCAACUCGACUUCAUGAAGUUGGAAUCGCUAGUAAUCGCGAAUCAGCAUGUCGCGGUGAAUACGUUCUCGGGGUUUGUACACACCGCCCGUCAAACCACGAAAGUUGGCAAUACCCCAAAACGGUAGCCUAACUCGUUUAUCGAG